AUUUAGACAAAAGAUGUCUUAACAAUGUCAGUAGAAUGCUUUAUGGGAAUGCUGUGGCUUUCUGGUAGGAAAUCAUGUGACCUCCUCGGCCAAGGUUUUGUUAUGGUGCCAGGAGGGAGAGAACGAGAGAGGGAGUGAAGGGGGAAACUUGGAAUGCAAUGCCAGCAAAGGGUUUUUAUUCUUUCUUUUUGGGGCUUUCUUUCAUUCUUGUGUUUGCUGAGAAAAUGGCGGACGGUGUGGAGCUGAAAUGAACCCGACUUGCCAAUGGAGCUGGGCACAAUAACACCACUCAACUCUAGUAUUUUUAAAUCAAUUUUUUUUGCAUGGCACCCAUGUCUCAUAGCUUUUUGAUUCCUGAUAAAUCCUGAUUCCUAUCUGUCUGUCUCCGGCUGGGUACAAAAGAGAGGUCUGAACAAUCCAAAUCAAGUAGAGAUGAUGAAUGUCAAAUGGUUAGUAGAGAUCUGGAGUGAGAAAUGACCAUGGGUGACUCCUUACCCUGAAAGGCACACGAUCAACAAGGCUCCUAAUGGACCUUUCCUGCCAGUAGACCCAAGACCGAAGAGGAGGAGGUAGCGGAGGUGUAGGGGAGGGGGUGGCAGAAGGGAGGCUGUUCCUCAGACGACGCAGAGCGCUCUCUUCUCGUCUCCCCUCAUCAUUGGUAUGCAGUGACUGUUCCCCAGGCGACAGGGCCACUGGGUUGGGGCUAAACUGACUGCAGGAGAGUCAGGUCUACAAAGUAAAUGAGAGGAGAGCAAGACAGCAGGGAUCCCUACAGCCUACAGGAUAAGUUAAACCCAGGUGAUAUAUAAGAAACCCCACAUAGUGUUGUAACAAUUUGAUUUCCACUUCUCUAGUAAAGUUUUUAUUCCCUACUCAUGUAUUGGUUGAGUAGGCAUUGGUUGGUGGAGGUGAAUUAGCAACAAAUAUCCUAGGUUCAUAUAUAUAUAUAUAUAUAUAU